GACGAACGCUGGCGGCGUGCUUAACACAUGCAAGUCGAACGGAAAGGCCCUGCUUUUGUGGGGUGCUCGAGUGGCGAACGGGUGAGUAACACGUGAGUAACCUGCCCUUGACUUUGGGAUAACUUCAGGAAACUGGGGCUAAUACCGGAUAGGAGCUCCUGCUGCAUGGUGGGGGUUGGAAAGUUUCGGCGGUAGGGGAUGGACUCGCGGCUUAUCAGCUUGUUGGUGGGGUAGUGGCUGACCAAGGCUUUGACGGGUAGCCGGCCUGAGAGGGUGACCGGCCACCAUGGGACUGAGAUACGGACCAGACUCCUACGGGAGGCAACAGUGGGGAAUAUUACACAAUGAGCGGAAGCCUGAUGCGGCAACGCCGCGUGCGGGAUGACGGCCUUCGGGUUGUAAACCGCUUUCGCCUGUGACGAAGCGUGAGUGACGGUAAUGAGUAAAGAAGCACCGGCUAACUACGUG
rnacentral:rRNA from 1 species